GAUGAACGCUGGCGGCGUGCCUAAUACAUGCAAGUCGAGCGAACGGACGAGAAGCUUGCUUCUCUGAUGUUAGCGGCGGACGGGUGGGUAACACGUGGAUAACCUACCUAUAAGACUGGGAUAACUUCGGGAAACCGGAGCUAAUACCGGAUAAUAUUUUGAACCGCAUGGUUCAAAAGUGAAAGACGGUCUUGCUGUCACUUAUAGAUGGAUCCGCGCUGCAUUAGCUAGUUGGUAAGGUAACGGCUUACCAAGGCAACGAUGCAUAGCCGACCUGAGAGGGGGAUAGGCCACACUGGAACUGAGACACGGUCCAGACUCCUAAGGGAGGCAGCAGUAGGGAAUCUUCCGCAAUGGGCGAAAGCCUGACGGAGCAACGCCGCGUGAGUGAUGAAGGUCUUCGGAUCGUAAAACUCUGUUAUUAGGGAAGAACAUAUGUGUAAGUAACUGUGCACAUCUUGACGGUACCUAAUCAGAAAGCCACGGCUAACUACGUG
rnacentral:rRNA from 1 species